AAGAAGAUCAACAUGUGGUAGAAACAUAUCUACAUACAUAUAUAUGCACUCGUGCGUACAUAUGCAUCAGCAUUAUUAUAAUACAAUUAUAAUUGUAUGCACAAUGGAAAAGUAAAUUAGAAGGAAAUUUGUUAUUCUAAUCGUUCGAAGGGAAGAAAAGUCGUGGUGAAAUUAGCAUUUGAAAAAAGUCGAAGGAGAAAAAUCAAAGAAAAAAAAAGGAAAAAAAAAAGAAAAAAGAAAAGAAAAGAGGAAAAAAAAAAAGAGCGGACAUUUGAGGAAUUAAUCACAGUAGGAGGAUCGAGGAAGAUCGAUCAUGGCCUCGGUCACUCGUCGCUGUUACGCAGUCGUGAGUUUAUGUCGAGCAUUUAGUGAGUCAAUGACAGCCGUUCGAGGCAUUCAUCGAGCGGAUUCGUGCGCGAUCUUUCCAUCUCUUUCCAACUUCUUCCUUCUCUUUCUAUCUCUAUCUAUCUAUCCCUCCUUCUUUUUCUUUCUUUGAACGAUCAUCGAGAACGAGAUGCUCGUGGUGUUCCGUGGUGAGUCAGUGAGAUCACGUGCCAACGUGCUAAAUAUAAUUGACACUACGAAAGCGAUCUAUGUACGUUCGAGGUAUCGAAGCGAAUAUGCGUUCGAUUUUUUUGUUCUCUCUCUUUCUCUUUCUCUCUUUUUUUUUUCUUUCUCGAUCCGAUCGAGCAUCGAAUCGACUCGUGUACGUAGUUCGUCAUAGUCAAUCAUUUUCUCGUUCUCGAAGAAUUUAUCUCGUCUGGAGUUUUAUUCAUACAUGUAAUAUAUAUUUACUUUGUGUCAUUAUGUAUAUGUGCAAUACAGAGUAAGUACCUUCGGGGAAAAAGAAAAAAAAAAGAAAUGAGAAGGCGCGAGGGAAAAGCUGUGUCGUUUGAGAUUGACUUUGCGUGGGUGCCUUAACAAAAGCAACCUCGAAUGACGUCCACGUGUAAUAUGACCCAUCCGGAAAAUGGCUAAUAUUUUCCAACUUGCUGAAUGUUUUAUCUCGAAAGAAUAUUUUAUUAAAAAAAUGACCCACAAAAAUGUGCAAGACAGAAAAAAGAGAUAGAGAAAGAGAGAGAGAGAAAGAUAUGGAUUGACAAUAGAAAAGGGAGAAAUUUAUAUUUGAAAAGUUAGAAAAACGUGUUAAUAUAUCGAACAAAAAUUGAUAUUAUUUCAAAUUGAAAAAUACUUGUACGUUAAUUUUUUUUUUCGUAAUACACACAUCUACACUUGUGUAAAAAUUUCGAGACAAAUUUUCAAUUUCUCUGUGCCUCCGAAAAACUCUAUUUUUUUCUUUUUUCUUUUUUUCCUUUUUUCUUUUUUUCACUUUUCGAUCCAUCAGAUAAAUUGAUACAGUAUCGAUACGAAUAAAUCUUUAAAUUAUAGUUUUAUCGUCAUCAGUUCGGUAUCAAUCACUAUAUCAGUAUAUCAGUAUAGAACGUAGAUAUUUGUUUAAUCGAGAUUGCACUUCGGAGCUACUUUUCACAUAUGUAUUUAGAAUGGGUAUAGAUGCAUUGAAAAACGUUUAGAAUGAUUUGAAAGGUUCGAGCUAUAGUUGAACACACACGGUAAAAAGUACGUCCAACGUCGACGAUUUUAUGCAAAUGGAUGUCCGCCUUUUGUAUUCAGUGUGUACGGUAUAGUAGAAUUUAUUUAUUUAUUUGGGUGGACGAAUUUAACGUAUGCCAACGUUCCAUGAAAAGGAACGAAUUCGAUCAUUUUAAAUGAUUUACGAUCAAAUACAGAAACGCAAAUAAAAGGGAUAGCAAUUUGUGAGAGUGCUACGUUUUGUUGCAAAUUUUUUUUAUACCUAUAUCCAUACACACACACACACACACACAUAUCUAUACGUAAAUAUUAAUUAACGAGAAUGCGUAAAAUACACACAUGCACACGCACACGCACACAUUUUUUUUCUUUCGUAUAGCAAAAAAAAUAACGUAUUAAAAAGACUCGCGAAAAAUAAUAAAUCAAUUAUGCAUAAAUACGUAGAUCGUAUAGUUAAUCGUCAAUCGUGGAAAAAAACAACACACUACGAUCGAACUCUUAUGUCAUUUCGUAAGAGAGGGAAGGGAGAAAAAAUCUUCAUCGUCUUCGUCGUUGUGAUUGCACCACCGCCAAUAUCUUGCGUCAUUCGACUCGUAGAAGAAGAUGGGAUACGAUCCAAGUUCUUUUUUCCGACCGUCCGAAUCGUUUCACAAUUCUUUCGUGCGAACGUUCAAGAUGACUACGCGAAUUCCCGAGCUGUUUGUGGAUUUAUAAGUAUAACGUUUAACUACUCACCCCUAUUUCCAUUUUGAUAAAUAUCUUUCACCUUCGUGUCUUCUGAGAACUCGUGAUGACGAUUGUUGAUAUCUUUUGAUGUUAUGAUAAUGAAAUAUAACCUUUUAAAGAAGCGAAAAUAUAUAAGAAAUUUUUGUUUACAAAUCUCUUUCUCUCUCUCUCUCUCUCUCUCUUUCUGUCUUCAGAUCUUCUCUUUUGUUACCUUCAGUUUACAAAGAUUCUCGUGAAAAUUUUAAUCCUCUUGAAACAAGAUGGCUCCUAGACAAUAAUCUUAGACGAUU